rnacentral:rRNA from 1 species
UACGGGGGGGGCAAGCGUUGUUCGGAAUUACUGGGCGUAAAGGGCUCGUAGGCGGCCAACUAAGUCAGACGUGAAAUCCCUCGGCUUAACCGGGGAACUGCGUCUGAUACUGGAUGGCUUGGAAUCCGGGAGAGGGAUGCGGAAUUCCAGGUGUAGCGGUGAAAUGCGUAGAUAUCUGGAGGAACACCGGUGGCGAAGGCGGCAUCCUGGACCGGCAUUGGACGCUGACGGAGCGAAAGCCAGGGGAGCAAACGGGG